CGGCGGACGGGUGAGUAAUACAUGGGAAUCUGCCUGGUAGUGGGGGACAACGUUUCGAAAGGAACGCUAAUACCGCAUACGCCCUACGGGGGAAAGGGGGGGAUCUUCGGACCUCUCGCUAUCAGAUGAGCCCAUGUCGGAUUAGCUAGUUGGUGGGGUAAAGGCUCACCAAGGCGACGAUCCGUAACUGGUCUGAGAGGAUGAUCAGUCACACUGGAACUGAGACACGGUCCAGACUCCUACGGGAGGCAGCAGUGGGGAAUAUUGGACAAUGGGCGCAAGCCUGAUCCAGCCAUGCCGCGUGUGUGAAGAAGGCCUUAGGGUUGUAAAGCACUUUCAGUGGGGAGAAAGGUGAUUCACCUAAUACGUGAGUUAAUUGAUGUUACCCACAGAAGAAGCACCGGCUAACUCCGUGCCAGCAGCCGCGGUAAUACGGAGGGUGCAAGCGUUAAUCGGAAUUACUGGGCGUCAAGCGCACGUAGGUGGUUUGUUAAGCUAGCUGUGAAAAUCCC
rnacentral:rRNA from 2 species